rnacentral:rRNA from 1 species
AAAGGAAUAGACGGGUCCCCGCACAAGCAGCGGAGCAUGUUGUUUAAUUCGAAGCAACGCGAAAAACCUUACCAGGGCUUGACAUCCAACGGACCGGCGCGAAAGCGCGGGGUGCUCCUUCGGGAGAACGUUGAGACAGGUGGUGCAUGGUUGUCGUCAGCUCGUGUCGUGAGAUGUUGGGUUAAGUCCUGCAACGAGCGCAACCCCUGUUGUUAGUUGCCAGCGCGUAAAGGCGGGGACUCUAACGAGACCGCCGGAGACAAUUCGGAGGAAGGUGGGGACGACGUCAAAUCAUCAUGCUCCUUAUGUCCUGGGCUACAAACGUGCUACAAUGGCCGUAACAGCGAGAAGCGAGCCUGCAAAGGCAAGCGGAACUCCAAAAGCGGUCUCAGUUCGGAUUGUGGGCUGCAACCCGCCCACAUGAAGUCGGAGUUGCUAGUAAUCGCGAAUCAGCAUGUCGCGGUGAAUGCGUUCCCGGGGAUUGCACACACCGCCCGU